CCUGUAAAAAAUAUGAAUGUGUUGAUAAAUCCCAAAACAUUUAAUUUAAGUGAAUUAGGAUUGCAAUACUUUUUACAUCCUGAAGACGGCAGUAUAAAACACCAGCUACCAUUUAAACCAAAACAGGAGAAGAAGACUGAGAUGCUUCAGACUGCGCAUGCGUUUAGUUUUGAAUUUCUGACCGGACCCGACCGGACCACGCCUGACCCUCCUUCGGUUAAUUUCGGUAAUUCUGUCGGAAAAAAAGUUGCAGUUGGUGUUUGGUAUCUAAUAUGGAAAAGAUCCUGAAAAAUUGCUUCGUUGAUGAGUUGUGCUCCUGUCUGGAUAAGACCUACUCAAAAAAGGUCCUGGCUGGGAUAGCCUUUGUCAACUCCCUCUGUAUUGAUGUGUUAUAGCUGGACUGCGGAGCUUUCAUGUGGUACGUUAAGGCAGAAAAUAGAAAAACCUUUUUAUAAG